CGGCCGUCUCGGCCGGAUGCCGUCCGCCGCCCUGAGGCGGCGGCGCGGGGCCUCAGGCCGCCGCGGUCCGGGCCGGUGAACGGCCGU
rnacentral:tRNA from 1 species